rnacentral:rRNA from 1 species
GACGAACGCUGGCGGCGUGCUUAACACAUGCAAGUCGAACGAAGAGCGAUGGAAGCUUGCUUCUAUCAAUCUUAGUGGCGAACGGGUCAGUAACGCGUAAUCAACCUGCCCUUCAGAGGGGGACAACAGUUGGAAACGACUGCUAAUACCGCAUACGAUCUAAUCUCGGCAUCGAGGAUAGAUGAAAGGUGGCCUCUACAUGUAAGCUAUCACUGAAGGAGGGGAUUGCGUCUGAUUAGCUAGUUGGAGGGGUAACGGCCCACCAAGGCGAUGAUCAGUAGCCGGUCUGAGAGGAUGAACGGCCACAUUGGGACUGAGACACGGCCCAGACUCCUACGGGAGGCAGCAGUGGGGAAUCUUCCGCAAUGGACGAAAGUCUGACGGAGCAACGCCGCGUGAGCGAUGACGGCCUUCGGGUUGUAAAGCUCUGUUAAUCGGGACGAAAGGCCUCCUUGCGAAUAGUGAGAAGGAUUGACGGUACCGGAAUAGAAAGCCACGGCUAACUACGUG